AAUGCAAUUGGGUCGUGAAUAUGCAGCAAGUCUGCAUAGAGAUCAUUUGAUACUCUGGCCCAUGAAAAUGGAAGUAAAAAUACUGGUUAAUAUAAUCAACUGAAGGGGCCAUGAAAAGGAGGGGGAAAAAAAGGCAGAGUAACUUUUAUAGAUCCGACAGGUAUAGUGGGGUAUGGAAAUUAAUGAAGAUUUAUGUAGUUGAAAAAGAAAAGUUGAGGGAUGGCAGGUUUAGAGAUUAUAAUAAGUUGUAUGGCUUUGUUUUGAAGAAAAGUGAGUAGAUGUUGGGGCAAGCAGGGAAUGAUUAGUGGUGACCCACUUUCCAUUGCCUUGCCCAACAUGAUCAUACUAGAGCCAAUUACUGGUCUAUGUCUCUCUAUGACUCAUUUGAGUGCAUUUAUUUUGUCCGAACCAAAUCCUCACUCCUAGGAGGCUUCUUGAUGACAAAAGCA
rnacentral:lncRNA from 1 species